GACGAACGCUGGCGGCGUGCUUAACACAUGCAAGUCGAGCGGUAAGGCCCUUUCGGGGGUACACGAGCGGCGAACGGGUGAGUAACACGUGGGUGACCUGCCCUCAGCUCUGGGAUAAGCCUGGGAAACUGGGUCUAAUACUGGAUAUGACUCCACGGUGCAUGUCGUGGGGUGGAAAGCCUUGUGCGGCUGAGGAUGGGCCCGCGGCCUAUCAGCUUGUUGGUGGGGUGANGGCCUACCAAGGCGACGACGGGUAGCCGGCCUGAGAGGGCGACCGGCCACACUGGGACCGAGACACGGCCCAGACUCCUACGGGAGGCAGCAGUGGGGAAUCUUGCGCAAUGGGCGAAAGCCUGACGCAGCGACGCCGCGUGAGGGAUGACGGCCUGG
rnacentral:rRNA from 1 species